rnacentral:rRNA from 1 species
UAAACUAGGAUUAGAUACCCUAUUAUUUUAAAGGUUAAUCUUAAAUAUCAAAUUAGUAUUAGUUAUUUUCUUGAAAAUUAAAAAAUUUGGCGGUAUUUUAGUCUUUUCAGAGGAACCUGUCCUAUAAUUGAUAGUCCACGAUAAUAUUUACUUUUAUUAUUAGUUUACAUAUCGUCGUAGUUUAAAUAUUUUAAUAGAAAAUAUUUAAAAUUUUGUAUUAAAGAAUAAAUCAGAUCAAGGUGUAGUAUAUAUAAAAGAAGAGAUGGGUUACAUUAAAUUUAUUUUUUGAAUAAUUUUUUUUAAAAAAAUUUGAAUUUGGAUUUGAAAGUAAUUUUUUAUAUUUUUUUAGGAUGAUUUAAGCUCUAAAAUAUGCACACAUCGCCCGUCGCUCUUAA